CCGGAAUCUUCUUUGACAUAAAUCACGAGUGGCAAGUUUAAAGACCCGCAGAACGAAGUGGCGCGUACGUGACAGGAGUGUCGGACACGGAAUUCACGUCGACGAUAGGCAAAUCGAACGAUAUAGAUUUUCCCGGUCGAUCAGCAGACAUUUCGGAGGGAAUCCGCGGUACGGAACCCACGAGGCCGUUGCAAACUAAUCGAACAGAAGAAAAACCCAACCUCACCACGGAACACGUGUCGGGCGUACAGGAGAAGGUUGAAAAAGGACCUGAAAGAAGAUUUGAAACCCGUACAUACUGCAAGAACCAUACAUCUGACAAAGCGCCCCGAAGAUAAGGGGCGUUUUUUCUUUGUUCGGUUCUUUCACCUGUCGUGAGCUGAUCGACGCGGAUUGAUCGUCACGUUAUUAUAGCUUUCCACUUCCGAAGGACGAGUCGACCGAUCGCAC